rnacentral:misc_RNA from 1 species
GAUGAAGAACGCAGCGAAAUGCGAUAAGUAAUGUGAAUUGCAGAAUUCAGUGAAUCAUCGAAUCUUUGAACGCACAUUGCGCCCCCUGGUAUUCCGGGGGGCAUGCCUGUUCGAGCGUCAUUUCAACCCUCAAGCUCUGCUUGGUAUUGAAUCCAUGUCAGCAAUGGCAGGCUCCAAAAUCAGUGGCGGCGCCGCUGGGUCCUGAACGUAGUAAUAUCUCUCGUUACAGGUGCUCGGCGUGCUUCUGCCAAAACCCCAAUUUUUCUAUGGUUGACCUCGGAUCAGGUAGGGAUACCCGCUGAACUUAAGCAUAUCAAUAAGCGGAGGA